rnacentral:lncRNA from 1 species
AAAUGCCAAAUCCAGCUGUGGAUGAAACACACAGGAAAAGGGGUGGCUCUGUGUCCCUGUGUGCUCUGGGCUCUGCCAGCAGAAGGACCAGGGGAAUGUUGUCAAUGUCAGAUCCAUCCUCAGCAUUCCUGAAUUCCAACUUUAUACCUCAAAAUGCCUGGAACACCCCAAGUUUUAUAGCAGCAAAAUUACUCCUGGGUGUAAGUGACCAGGUUUAUAGGGCCAAACCCUGCAUUUUUGGCUUCUCCUGGAAGCCUGGGCACAAAGCACCUGACUGCAACUGGGAAUUCAUCACCUCUCUCCCUGGACAUGCAAAUUUUACUGGAACUCCCUCAGCUAAGUCCUGUGUCCCCCAUGCCUUAGCAGGGAGCAGUGACACCUCAUCCUGCAGUCUGGAAUUCCAGGGAAUCCUGCAGCCCCAUGGGAAGCUGCUGGCUGGGAAGGGGCUGGGGAUGCUGACUGCUUGUGACAAGUCUUGCCUGGGAGAAAACCAACACGGCAGCGGUUGGAAACCUGAAUGA